rnacentral:tRNA from 1 species
AUUAGAGGUAAAUUAAAAGUUAAUUACUAAUUAACUAAGUAAUAUUUUAUAUUAAUAUCUUUAAUA